GGAAAGUGGGGGCAGGGUGCGACGGGAAUGCGGAGGUGGCGGAGGUUAAUCGGGGUUACUGGGCGUAAAGGGGGCGUAGGCGGUAGAUUAAGUGGGAUGUGAAAGCCCCGGGAGUAAACUGGGAAGUGCAUCGCAAACUAAUUGACUAGAGUAGAUGAGAGGGUGUCGGAAUUUCCGGUGUAGCGGUGAAAUGCGUAGAGAUCGGAAGGAACGUCGAUGGCGAAGGCAGACACCUGGCAUAAUACUGACGCUGAGGCGCGAAAGCGUGGGGAGCGAACAGGAUUAGAUACCCGAGUAGUC
rnacentral:rRNA from 1 species